CUGGCUUUGGUUGAUCUGAUCAUGGGAUAUCAUGGGAUAUCUGAUAUCUCUAACUUCUAAGAGGCAAGUCAGGCCAUAGAAAGAAAUAGGUACUAUUGACUGGCCUUUUGUCUUCAUCAUAAAGUGAACAAAAUCUGGGAUUGGCUACUGCCUGGUGUUGGCAGGAACAGAAAUGAAAAAUGUGUCAAAGAGGCAGGUGUUACUGGUAACUGCACUAAAUUAAAAGUCUGUCUUCAUAUAAUUUUUUUGACUCACUUCACCAAGUUAGGCUUCAAUUAAGGCCACUUCCUUUUUGUUUCCCCAGCGAACUUCUUGAGCACUGGUAAGGAACAUUUGGAGAAGAUUCUUCUAAGAAGGCCUGAUCCACUUGAUGCCCUGACAAAAGAAGUUAAUCUAUUAUGGUAAAGAAGACGAGGAGAGAAGAACUGACAUCAAACAUUUAGAAGAUAAUUAAGAGGACCUCAAGCUGCCUUAGCAGAGCGCAUCUCCUGAAGUGCAGAUAAAAUCAAUAUCAAGGCUCAGACAGACAUGGAGAUAAAAGUCCCAUGAAAGAAGACCUAGAGUUUUCAUUGAGUAGGACUCAGCACAAGAGCUGGCCCAGCUGCCUCAUCAUGGUUAGAGUGCAGUGGUAUGAUCUUGGCCCACUGUAG
rnacentral:lncRNA from 1 species